GUUGCUCCAAUGGCCAUUGUAGGGAAUGCCCGCCUGCCAACGUCAAGGCAGACCCCCCUAAGCAGGUCCUACUCUGACCCUUCACCUUGCUUCCUUGAGCUUCUGGCAAAGAUAUCUCUAAUGAGACAGAGGGGUAUUUUUUAUAUACACCCCUAUAUAAUUAUUAACCCUUAAUAGGGAACACAUGGGAUGGGUGGCAACAUUGUAACCAGGGUGUGUGAUACAAAGUAAAUACAAAUACAAAAAGAGAAGUCCUGCGCUCACUCCCUUAUGUUACAUAGAAAUUUUACAAAAACAUGGGUGAAAAACUAUAGCAUAUAUUGCAAUACACGUAACAUAAAGAGAAUAUGUGUUAAUAUAUAUAAAUAUAAAAAAUUAAAACCUGAAAGAGACAGAACAGAUAUUUAAAUGGCACAGAUGCGGCACUAAUCAACCAGCCUGUUUUUAUGUCCUUGCUGCACAUUGGCGCUAGAAUCAGGUAAGUGAAAGAUUUUUUGUGUAACCCUUUCAUGGAUGGAGGGCGUGGCAGAGGGACACUAUAGCGUUAGGAAUACAUCUUUGUAUUCCGAAUACUAAAGUGUUCCUUUAAUAAAAUUAACAACAACAAAAAAGAGACUGAACUGAGAUUUAAAUGGGGCAAACAUGGCACUGACAGAUCAGCCCAGUUUCAUUUCCCUGGGGCUGGUCUCUUGUGGGGGGCUGACUGAUCUUUUGUGAUCUUUAAAUCAUUAAUGUUUCAGUAACGCUAAUAGAUCGGUUUAUUAAAAUUAUACAAAUGAUACAUAUGCAAUCCUAGCAAAAAAAUGUUUAACCGCACAAAAAAUUAGUAUAUUUGUUUUUAAAAUUGGAAAUUUGUGGGAUACAAAGUGGGUGCAGUUUAAUUAUCUGAAAUGCACAAUAUUUCCAAAGCAAAAACUGGCAAAAAAUCUUAAUUUCUGCAGCACAAAUGAAUGGUAUAUUUUUAUUCACAUUUUAAAAAACUAGGGUACCAACUAUACAAAGCUGAGUCGAACUGGAUUACAUAAGAACUAAUUGAAUUCAGCCAAAUAAGGUACACUAAAUGCAGGGGGGUGACCCCUAGUGGAACAAACAAAAUGAAAGAAUAGUGUACCUAUCAACUGGGAAAAAGGGGAGUGUAUGCCUAGACUUCGUAAUUAAUAAUUAAAGUAUAAGGAAAAAGAGCACUGAUUAAAAAGACCGAAAGGUCAAAAAAC